rnacentral:RNase_P_RNA from 1 species
GAAUCAUGUUGGGCAGUUGCUCUCUGAAAUUAAAAAUUCAGGGGGAGGAAAGUCCGAACACCACAGAACAAGGUGCCGGGUAACGCCCGGGGGCUUGAAGACGAAAGUCUCAAGCUACGGAAAGUGCCACAGAAAAAAUACCGCCCUGCUGCUGGCGGGGUAAGGGUGAAAAGGCGAGGUAAGAGCUCACCGCUCCGAUAGUAAUAUCGGAGGUCUCGUGAUGAACGAGAUCCUGCAGAAAUGCAGGACACGGCAAACCCCACCUGGUGCAAGGUCAAGCAGAAGGACUCCCGCUACGGCGGGAAAAGGUUGUUCGCCUUUCAGUUCCUUCGGGUAGACCGCUAGACCACGAUAGUAAUAUCGUGGCUAGAUAAAUAACUGCCGCUCGCCUAUGGCGAGUUACAGAAUUCGGCUUAUAGACAUGGUUCAUCA